UUCGCUCUUUAAUGAAACAAAUAAAAGCAUUAGCACUCCGCCUGGGGAGUACGGUCGCAAGAAUAAAAUUCAAAGGAAGGACGGCGCCCGCACAAGCGGUGGAGCUUGUGGUUUAAUUUAAAGCAACGCGAAGAACCUUACCAGGUCUUUACAUCCUAUGACAACCCAAGAGAUAGGGCUUUCCUUUCGGGGACAGAAUGACUGGUGGUGCAUGGUUGUCGUCAGGUCGUGUCGUGAGAAGUUGGGUUAAGUCCCGCAACGAGCGCAACCCUUGAUUUUAGUUGCCAGCAUUUAUGGAACCCUUUAAGGUGAGUGACGGUGACAAACCGGAGAGAGGGGGGGAAGGCGUCAAUUCAUCAUGCCCCUAAUGACGUGGGCGACACACGUGCUACAAUGGACAAAACAAAGGGGAGCAAGGACGCAAGGGUGAGACAAUCAAAUAAAUAAGUUUUCAGUUGGGAUGGCAGUUGGCAACUAGCUUGCGUGAAAAGGAAUCGUUAGUAAUCGCGUAUCAUAAUGCUGCGGAAAAUAAAUUCUCGGGCGUUGUACACACCGCCGGUCACACCACGAGAGUUUGUAACAACAGAAGUGGUUGAGGAACUACCUAUGUGGAGCCGCCCCCCGCCAAAAGAGC
rnacentral:rRNA from 1 species